GAGGUCAAGGUAUACGCCUCACCCACCAAUGAGAUCCUCCGUGGUCUAAUUCAUAGCCAAUUUAGUUGUGGCGGUGAUAGAUUGUUGUCUUGGCGGCGUCGUUGUAGCUUUUCCUUGUUCGUAACUCUUUCUUGCUUUUCGCCGAAGAGACAGAAACGAACACGCGGAGACCGCCGACUCGAACACCCUCUAACGCCGCUGUAAGGAGGCUAGGAGCAGCGCUACUGAGGUUUGUGAAUAAAUAAGGAAGUGGCUUUUCGUAUUUGAAUCGUAUAAGAAGGGCAGGUACACAAUGAAGACUAUCCAUAAUGCUUGUAUGUGUGAGCCUACUUCAAUGGUGUAUUUCCUGUGAGAAGGGGCUGUUGGAAGGCCACAUUUUCUGUUUUACUUUUUAUUUGGACAAUUGCCUGUGAAGUUGUUGAUCGGGAUUGAUCUAGUAGGUCGGAAUGGAAUCAAAGAUCGCAAAGGAAUUGGAUAGUAGUCGUAGAGUUGCACUGGGCUUGAAGAGAAAGCGAGCAUCUCACUCCGCAGCAUAUAUUGCCGGAGCUCCCAGAGCAGUGUUACCUCAGUGGUCAUCAUCUAUUCCGUUGACCCAUAACCUUGAUAAAUAUAGGAAGGUAGAUGGAUGCAAUGGCCGGCGUAUGAGCCGUGGAUAUGUUUCUACAAGAUUUUUGCAUCGCUGUUAUUCAAAUUUCCAGAGAAGUGGGGUUCCGAAGCGUAUUCUGUUGUACCAGAAUGGUGAAUGGACUGAUUUUCCUCAAGAUCUCAUUCGAUUGGUUAAGAAAGACCUUGACUCAAAGAAGGCAGCCGUUGAGGUGGAUAUGGACGGUGAUCCUUAUGUGCUGGAUUUUCUUCAUAUGUUUCGUUUGGACUUGAAAAGAGGUCUGCAACAACCGAUUGCUUGGAUUGAUGAAGCAGGUGGCUGCUACUUUCCUGAGAUUUAUGAUGAUGCUGAUGAAUAUGACUGCUGCAAACAUCAAUGUGGGAAAGAUCACAAGCCUUCAUGCGCGGGUGCCCAUGAGAUUAAACUGCAGCUUGAAAUUGACUUAAAUGGAGAAUCUAAAUUAAAGGAAUGCAGUGGGGAGUCGGAUGAUGUUAUUGAGGAGAUUCAAGGUGCUUGCAACAUGAAGUCUGAUGAGAAAAUCAUUGAAGUUGUUGAGACAAAUAAACAGAUAAAGGAAUUUAUGGCCACUGGAGCAAUGUCUGCUAAUGAAAAGUUGGAUUCUGAUAUUGUUCAAAAGAUUUUUCAUGAUGGUAUAACGCCUUCUUGUGGUGCAGAAAUACUUGAUUUAUAUCGCUGUUCUAGUGCUUCAAUGCCAGCCCGUUUAGAGCUUUUUGAGAAGCAGGUUGAAAUCACAAAAAAGUAUCGCGGAGAUGCAAAUGUCCGUUAUGCUUGGCUUGCUUCCUCUAAAGGAGCACUGUCUACGAUCAUGAUGUAUGGGCUUGGGCAUUAUGGACCAUUGAUGACUACGUGCAAGUAUGGCAUUGGCGUUCCUCUUGCUGCAGCGAACUGCCCUGGUGCCAGUGUGGAUUAUUGUGAUGUUGACGAAAAUGGUGUUCGAUACUUGUUAUUUUGCCGUGUGAUACUGGGAAAUAUGGAGCCCCUUUGCCCUGAGACCCGACAGUUCCAUCCCAGUAGCGAGGAAUUCGACAGUGGAGUGGAUAAUCUUCAGAAUCCGAGGCAUUAUGUGAUCUGGAAUAUGAAUGCGAAUACCCACAUUUAUCCAGAAUUUUCUGUUGGUUUCAAAGUCUCUUCCAAGAAUGAAGUACCUGCGUUCCUCUACUUGAUGGGCUCUACAGGUGAUCUGGCUGGAAGAGAGAGCAAGCAUUCAGGUUCAGGGGUUACUAUUCCCUCUCAAGGUCGUCAGGGAAAUAUGCGAUUUAACUCCUCUGCUGUUGAUCUGGGAAAAGAUGCUAGUUUGGGUUCGGCCACUUCGAGGACUCCAAAAUCCCCCUGGAUGCCUUUCCCUAACUUGUUUGCUGCCAUCUCAGACAAAGUUUCUCCUAGAGAUAAGAAACUUAUAUCUGGUCACUAUGAAUUAUUCAGGGCUAAGAAGUUAAAUCGGGAUGAUUUUGUCAAAAAUUUGAGGCUGAUAGUCGGAGAUGCAUUGCUGCGAAGUACAAUAAUCAAACUUCAAUCCAAGUGAUUACCUAUUAGAGGACACAUAAUAUUGUGGUGCAUGUUGGGUUUUCUAGUGAAUCGUCAGAUUGAGUUUUCACUGAAGAAAUCACCUUUCCGAUACCAUCAGCUUGUCUAACUGAUGCAUCGAAGCCGAAUAUUGAAGGUUCAGGUGGCCCUUGAUUGGUCAUGGUGCCUCGUACUUGAUUCUGGCCUGGUUUUCCAUAUGGUGUCCGGGAGCUUACAUUAAACUUCAUUCUGGGUAAUGGGUAUUGCAAUGCGUCGACUUGAAGUUGUGAAUAUUAUAACGGGCUGGUUACAAGUAUUGUAGGUCUUAGUUUUCUGAAAAGUUCUAGGAGUUUGCUCGUCUAUUUUCCUUGUUUUCUGGUUAGUGAACUAUGUUUUCAACACUUGUCAAACUGUAAAGUGUUUAAAUUUUGAACUCUCUUGAACCUUGGAUACAUUUUUUUUUCCUGCAUGUGGACAAUUCCAAUAAUUAUUUCCUAGUUGGUACUUCCGGCAGCAUGA